GGCUGAUAAAUUCAGUAGCCCAUAUACAAAAUGUGGACUGCUACACAGAAGACUAUCAUGGCCCCUGCACAAAGAUGACCUGCUAAUUCAUGAGUAGAUCUAGAUUUUA